UCAGGAGUGGGGUCAGCAGGAGGAACUCUACAGCUAUGGGAGAACCUGCGUUCACCUCUUUUCCAAGCCUGCCUGUUCUGGGGAAGCUCAAAAGGAACAUGAUGCCCUGGGCUUUACAGAAGAAACGAGAAAUCCACAUGGCCAAGGCCCAUCGGAGACGAGCUGCGAGGUCUGCUCUCCCCAUGAGACUCACCAGCUGCAUCUUCCGGAGGCCGGUGACAAGGAUCAGGUCUCAUCCUGACAACCAGGUCAGACGCAGAAAAGGGGACGAGCACCUGGAGAAGCCGCAGCAACUCUGCGCCUACCGGAGACUGCAGGCCCUGCAGCCCUGCAGCAGCCAAGGAGAAGGUUCAAGUCCACUGCAUUUGGAGAGCGUCUUAAGUAUCCUUGCACCGGGGACGGCCGGUGAAUCUCUGGACAGAGCUGGUGCUGAGCGUGUGCGCAGCCCGCUUGAGCCCACCCCUGGGCGGUUUCCAGCUGUGGCAGGGGGGCCAACCCCAGGAAUGGGUUGUCAGCUCCCACCGCCCCUCUCUGGCCAAUUGGUGACUCCUGCAGAUAUCCGGAGACAGGCCAGGAGGGUGAAGAAAGCCAGGGAGAGACUGGCCAAGGCCUUGCAGGCAGACAGGCUGGCCAGGCGGGCAGAAAUGUGACAGGUGGAUGAAGUGCAGUCCUGGGUUUUGAAUCCCUAUCUUUUAAUGCCCGUCCUCUUUCCUGCUAUGAAUUGUCACACUUUGUACUUCCCCACCAGUUCUUUAUUAAAAGCAUUUGAAAGGC
rnacentral:lncRNA from 1 species